GCCUUUGUAAAUUUGACUCUCAUAAACGUCGAACCCUUCGUACUUGUUUGCCUCUCUGUCUAGUUCUGUUAUAAUAAUGCAUUGACAAAUACCAUAGCCCGGUUUGAACAAAUUUCCUGGUUUACCUGUUAUUUACUAAGUUUUGAUAUUUGCAGUAGGAUAUGUUGUAAACUUGUAAAUACUAUUCAAAACAACAUUGUACAUACGAGUCAAAUAUAUUAUAUGGUAUUAAAAUGACAUGACCAUUAUUGACUGAUGGUACGUCAAUAUAACUAGUUGGGACAAAUUUUUUUAUUAGCAGUUAUCUAACACUCAAUUGUCCAAAACUCCCAAGUUUAUGAUAAAAAAAAUGAAGCCGAGGAAGCAAACGAGUGUGAAAAGAACAUUAAGGAUGGUAAAAGUUUUAGAUGAAAAAAAUGAUGUCUCAUCACAUUUCUUCGAAAACAUAUCCUCGGUUCCCGAAAGUAAAAUUUUCUAGAGUAUACACGUUCAUUAAGAAUUUAAUAAAUGUUUAUAAUUUAAUUUAUUUUUUACUUUAUUAUACACUUUGCAAUAACUUUUCACUAACGAAAUUUAAUCAAUUCAAAUAUUCUCAAUUAAAGUUCCUCAAAAAAAAAAAAAAAGCCUUAACAAUAUAGAAAAUCUAUCUUUGUGUAACAAGAAAAAAAUCUAAAAAAUUUUACUUUCCGGAAGGAAGGGUAUAUUGUUAAAAAAAUCUAAAAAAUCUAAAAAAUCUAAAAAAUCUAAAAAAUCUAUCUUAACCUCCAAUAAUCUCAGUAAGUUCCUCGACGGCCGGCCUGUCAACCUUCACACCAACAUCCUCUGCUGUGUAGUCUCCGCGAAGAGCCUAGUCAGAUUUGGAAACACAAGCAUUCAAUUAAAAUAAAUCUUUGAUGAUAUGAUUCUAUCUCAAAAUCAAAAACAAAAAGUGUUGUUAUGGUAGUUUCUCAUCACCUCCUCCUUAUAAGCUGCUUUCCAAGGUCAAACUUGGGAGCCUUGAGGAUCUUGACAUAACGUAUGAAAACAUUCUGAAGAGGGUAGAUGCCCUGAGUUGGCUUUCUCAAUAUCCUUGCCAAUAGGAUUCGGGAAUAAACUUGGCAACAAGCUCCUUGAGGUCACAAGACGAAGCUUCCUUGAUCAUGAUCUCCCUCAUCUUGCUACGAAUCUGAGGAAACAAGAACAACUCAUAGUUAUCAUUAGAAACAGAAGAUCAAAGAUGGUAGAAGUAAAGACUUCAACAAUAGUUUGGGUAUGAAUAUAUAAUAUAUAUAAGAGAUACACUGAGUUAAAAGCAUCUAGCAGCUAAAGCAAUCAAAAUUUUACCCUGAGUUCUGGAAACAAGUGUCUUUCCGACAUUUCUGUGAGUGAAGUUAGAGGGAGCCUUGAUAAUCUGCCAGCCAAUUUCCUAAGGGACAGGUGAAAUAAUCGUAAAUUUUCUUUUUGUAUGGGUAUAAUAUUUAGGGUUGUCUAUUGAGAUUUUCGAAUCUUAGGUUCUCCUGAUGUAAUUGAUCUAUGAAUGUUUUAUUGGUUGUGUUUUGAGUUUUUGUCAGGUUGAUCUGUUAGAUUUCAUUUGACUGGUCAGGUGUUCGAUGCCUUAACCAAAGCUCACCUCACUCUUUACCCAACGCUCUCAACCAAGCAGGUAGUUAUUAACUAGUUCUCUGUCUCUAUAUAUUUUUGUUUUUUUGGUUAUAGAUGAUGAUUGAGUUUGAAACCAAGUUUUGUUGGAUUGACCCCUUGAUUUUACUUUUGACCCAUGGAACUUGAAUAUAAAAACAAUAAUCUAUAGUUUUCGAAUUGUUUGAUUCUCUAUUGAUUGUUUCGUGAGUGAGCUGAGAUUGAUUGAUUUACUUGUUUAGGUUUAAACUUAGAGGGUGAUGCUGAUGAGCAACUCCUAAUCUAUAUUCCUUUCAACCAAGUUAUCAAACUACAUUCCUUUGCUAUCAAAGGCCCUGAAGAGGAAGAAGGUAUACGAUUUGUAAAUAUUGAAUGAAGAAUAUUAGGUUACUGUGAUUGAUUUUAGUCCUGCCUUGUUGUUGUUAACUUUGUCGUUGUGAUUAAACUUUUGCUUGAUUAUAGGAACUUUUUAGGUCCUAAAACCGUGAAAGUUUUUUUCUCAAACAAUGUCAAUGAUUUUCCUCCUAGUGACACCGCUGAACUAACUGAAGAAAACAUCAAGGUAAGACGUUUUUGGGACCUAAGUUUAUUCAUUUAGUGAUGAUCUAUCUGUCUUGAGACCUUUCUGUUCAAAUCCAUUUGCAGGGGAAACCAGUGGUCCUUAAAUAUGUAGGUAAAAGAGGCUUUUACCAUCUUCUGUGUGUUUAUAAUACUUACUCAGCAAAAUCACAAGCUCGAUCGAUCUUACCUUCUGUAUAUAUAUAUUUAUAAUUCAAGGUUGACGAUCUUUAUUGAAGACAACCAAUCAGGCUCUGAGGUCUCAAAGGUCCAGAAGAUUGCUCUCUACGGUUCAAUGUAAGUCUCUCAAAAACCCUUAAUUUAUUACAAUCCUGAAGAAUGUUGAGCUUAGAGCCUUAUUAUACCAUAAUCUUGCACUUACAGAGACGAGACUGUAGGAGAUGGAUUACAUCCCUCCACAAGGUCCAUCGAAUAACAUGACGUAGCCCAGCAAGCUGAGCUAAUUUAUUCGGCUCGGCGAGUAGAGUCGUCAGCUCGGUCCUAGAAUGUUUUUAGCCGUUGGCAAAGCCGGUCAAAAGCACCCGGCUUGAAGGAAUUCCACCUAGGCUCGUAUACUCGGCCUCCCCGAACUAAGGCCCAAAGAAGAUCGAAAUUAAGGCAUCAAGGACAGAAAGCCUAUAAAAGAGGAGAAGGGAACAACAAAAGAAGGAUCGACACUUUGCACACACACACAUUGAGCGGCUAAAUCUAGCGUUUUAGUCUCUCUUUACUCCUAAUCGCUAUGUAUCUCUCCCGGUUUGCUCCUCAAGCUCCGGCUUGUUUCCUUGAUCUCCUGUCACUCUUGUAACCCAUUUAAUCGAUCUAAUAAAACGUCUUUGGUCGUCCCAUUUCGAGUUCUUUCAACCUAGUCGACUGAAUCCUGUACAAACAAUUGGCGCCCACCGUGGGGCUGACUAAAGUAACGUUCUAGAUCUACAUGGCUCAAGACGACGCCACCUCUGGCGCUCCAGGCGGAGAACCAACCCCAACGCCUGAAGCCGCACCGCCAGUCCCCACAGAUUUCAUGAGCUCCGUCAUGGCUCGACAUGUUCGACAAGACGAAGUUCAAAAGACGACCAACAACCAGCUAGCUGCUUUGGUCGCAGCACCCACCGCUCCAGACGGCCAAACGAGCCGUCCCCAGAUGAUACGCCGUCGCCUGUUUAACACAAACCGAACGGCGACGGGUGGUGACCAAAUCUCAGACGACUCGGAACCUAACGAAACCCUUCUCGCCGAUGCUUCCCCGAUAGGACCAGAUCUCACAACCAUACGCGAUAUCGCCGAGCUCAAACUCAGCUUUCAGCAAAUGAGCUCGAAGAUCCAUCAGGCUACUAGUGUGGCUCCACAAAUCGAGAGCGUACUCGCUGCAACCUCGCGAACCCCUUUUACUAGCGCACUGACCAGUGUGCAACUCGGGAAGAUAGAGAAGCUGCACCUACCUGAGUACAAGCCCGGAGGAGAUCCGGUGGAACACAUGACGGCUUUCAAUAUUUCGAUGGCGCGUGCUCGACUCUCCGAUGAAGAAAGGGACGAAAGUUACUGUCAACUGUUUAUUCUGGUUGGUCUUGCAGCCUUUAUUGUGGUUUCUGGAUUCCUGUCAGACCGCCGUUCACAGGGUUCCACUUUAACCGCUACUCAGAAAACUAGCGUCAUUAAACUACAGGUAGAAUGAUCUAACUCUUUACCUGAACUGAACAGAGAGUUUAUGCGUAACAACAAUUUGUAUCCUCUUUUUCAGGUGGGGUUGCUUGGUUUGGGGAGGACCCUACAACAAGAUUUCAAUCGUCUUGCUGAAAAUGCUGAUACUUCCACAUCGGAGGGUCUCGCCUAUGUUUUAACCGGUAACAACCAUAUUACAAACAAUGUUACAAAUGCAGCUCUAACUCGAUUCACUAUUUUGCUUUGGUGAAUUUUGUUUUAACUGUCUAUAUUGAAAUCGAACCUGCCUGGGAGUGGGAGGUAAAGCAAGUUGAUGGCUUUUUUUUUAAACAUUCUAGAUUUAUUUAACCUUGUGGUUAUUGCUGGCUAUAUUUAGUGAAAAAUGUCAAUCCCGGACUAUCUUUUUAACGUUUGUUAACAUGGGUAAUCUAUGUAAAAGAUUGAUUUCUCUGUAAGACAUCCCCUUCCCUGAUAAAUGCUUAAGUAUAAAUAUAUAUAUUUUUUUUUUUUCUUUUCGGUCCUACAGAGGCAACAUUAGCUUUGCUGAGGCACCCGGACUAUUGCAUCUCUUGUUAUUCAUCAGUAAGUCCACUUGUUCUCACAUGAUUGAUAUAUGCAGAACCUAACCAAUCUGUUUUGUAUCUUUUUAUUUUCAGGUUGAUGUGAGACGGAGUAUAGAAGACGGAGAGAAACGAUUUAAUCAACUCUCCAUUGAAGAACGGGGGAAAUUCGAUGAGGAGACGCUUGUUAACGUGAACAGCAUUAAGAGACAAAGCUCAAAGAUUCGGACAGCUAGCGGUUUCAGCAAUGAAUAUAUUGUGGUACACUUACAAGUUCUCAGUUAAUUGUUUACUAGAAUUUUUGGGUAAAUCGAAUUUAGAAGGCUGACCCCGAAAAGGAGAUGCAUGGGUUCUUGAUAAUAUGAAGCAUGUGUUUGCACGUCGUAACUUUGGUUUAACAGUAAGUGUUGUUGUACAUGUUCAGGUAACCAUCUUGGUGGCUGCAGAGGGUACACAUAAACUCCAGCCAAUAAAUGGAACUGCGGAUAUGAAGGAAGCCUUACAGAAAAUUGGGUCGAUACCUAGAAACAAAAUAAUGGUAAGAGUCUCUAUGUAUCUGUAAGUUUGAACAACCAUUCGAACAAGUGUAGUCUUGCAAAUGAAUGGUGUAAAAAAAAACAAUUGUUGCAGGCAGUAGAAGUACUGUGGACACCGCAGAAUGAGAAGGACACUUUGUCAGAAAGGAAGCUACUUGAAGAUUACCCACUCUUGAGGCCUUUGUAAAUUUGACUCUCAUAAACGUCGAACCCUUCGUACUUGUUUGCCUCUCUGUCUAGUUCUGUUAUAAUAAUGCAUUGACAAAUACCAUAGCCCGGUUUGAACAAAUUUCCUGGUUUACCUGUUAUUUACUAAGUUUUGAUAUUUGCAGUAGGAUAUGUUGUAAACUUGUAAAUACUAUUCAAAACAACAUUGUACAUACGAGUCAAAUAUAUUAUAUGGUAUUAAAAUGACAUGACCAUUAUUGACUGAUGGUACGUCAAUAUAACUAGUUGGGACAAAUUUUUUUAUUAGCAGUUAUCUAACACUCAAUUGUCCAAAACUCCCAAGUUUAUGAUAAAAAAAAUGAAGCCGAGGAAGCAAACGAGUGUGAAAAGAACAUUAAGGAUGGUAAAAGUUUUAGAUGAAAAAAAUGAUGUCUCAUCACAUUUCUUCGAAAACAUAUCCUC
rnacentral:lncRNA from 1 species